rnacentral:rRNA from 1 species
UGGGGAAUAUUGGACAAUGGGCGAAAGCCUGAUCCAGCCAUGCCGCGUGUGUGAAGAAGGUCUUCGGAUUGUAAAGCACUUUAAGUUGGGAGGAAGGGCAGUAAGCGAAUACCUUGCUGUUUUGACGUUACCGACAGAAUAAGCACCGGCUAACUCUGUGCCAGCAGCCGCGGUAAUACAGAGGGUGCAAGCGUUAAUCGGAAUUACUGGGCGUAAAGCGCGCGUAGGUGGUUCGUUAAGUUGAAUGUGAAAGCCCCGGGCUCAACCUGGGAACUGCAUCCAAAACUGGCGAGCUAGAGUAGGGCAGAGUGUGGUGGAAUUUCCUGUGUAGCGGUGAAAUGCGUAGAUAUAGGAAGGAACACCAGUGGCGAAGGCGACCACCUGGGCUCAUACUGACACUGAAGUGCGAAAGCGUGGGGAGCAAACAGG